rnacentral:rRNA from 1 species
UCAUCUCCGGGGGUAGAGCACUGUUUCGGCUAGGGGGCCAUCCCGGCUUACCAACCCGAUGCAAACUGCGAAUACCGGAGAAUGUUAUCACGGGAGACACACGGCGGGUGCUAACGUCCGUCGUGAAGAGGGAAACAACCCAGACCGCCAGCUAAGGUCCCAAAGUCAUGGUUAAGUGGGAAACGAUGUGGGAAGGCCCAGACAGCCAGGAUGUUGGCUUAGAAGCAGCCAUCAUUUAAAGAAAGCGUAAUAGCUCACUGGUCGAGUCGGCCUGCGCGGAAGAUGUAACGGGGCUAAACCAUGCACCGAAGCUGCGGCAGCGACGCUGAUGCGUUGUUGGGUAGGGGAGCGUUCUGUAAGCCUGUGAAGGUGGCCUGUGAGGGUUGCUGGAGGUAUCAGAAGUGCGAAUGCUGACAUAAGUAACGA